UGCGUAGGCGUCCGAGAAAGUUAUUUGUUAAAUCCUCCGGCUUAACCGGAGACCUGCAAGUAAAACUACUCGGAUAGAGUUUAAGAGAGGAAAUGGAAUUCCUGGUGUAGCGGUGACAUGCGUAGAUAUCAGGAGGAACAUCUAUGGCGAAGGCGGUUUUCUGGCUUAAAACUGACGCUGAGGCACGAAAGCGUGGGGAGCAAACA
rnacentral:rRNA from 1 species